GACGAACGCUGGCGGCGUGCUUAACACAUGCAAGUCGAACGGGAAGACAUGAAGAGCUUGCUCUUUAUGAAAUCCAGUGGCAAACGGGUGAGUAACACGUAAACAACCUGCCUUCAGGAUGGGGACAACAGACGGAAACGACUGCUAAUACCGAAUACGAUUCUUGAGUCGCAUGACACAAGAAAGAAAGGGUGGCCUCUACUUGUAAGCUAUCGCCUGAAGGGGGGUUUGCGUCCGAUUAGGUAGUUGGUGAGGUAACGGCCCACCAAGCCGACGAUCGGUAGCCGGUCUGAGAGGAUGAACGGCCACAUUGGAACUGAGACACGGUCCAGACUCCUACGGGAGGCAGCAGUGGGGAAUCUUCCGCAAUGGGCGAAAGCCUGACGGAGCAACGCCGCGUGAGUGAAGACGGCCUUCGGGUUGUAAAACUCUGUGAUUCGGGACGAAAGAUAAGCAGACGAAUAAUCUGCAUAAGUGACGGUACCGAAAAAGCAAGCCACGGCUAACUACGUGCCAGCCGCCGCGGUAA
rnacentral:rRNA from 1 species